UACGUAGGUGGCAAGCGUUGUCCGGAAUUAUUGGGCGUAAAGCGCGCGCAGGCGGUUAUGUAAGUCUGAUGUUAAAAACCGGGGCUCAACCUCGGUUCGCAUUGGAAACUGCGUAACUUUGGUGCAGAAGAAGAAACUGGUAUUCCACGAGUAGCGGUGAAAUGCGUAGAUAUGUGGAGGAACACCAGUGGCGAAGGCGACUUUCUGGUCUGUAACUGACGCGGAGGCGCGCAAGCGUGGGGAGCAAACAGG
rnacentral:rRNA from 1 species